AUCGUUAGCUCUAGGAUUCCUCGCUGAGUCCCAAGUCUAAUUGUUUACAGACAUCCUAUGUCUAACUGCAUCCCACCACUCUCUGCUUCUCCUUAAGACUGGUCCCCACUUUGCUAUCAGCUGUUCCAUCUCAGCAUCUCUUACUCUUUUCUUCUCAGCCUGACUGCUGCUGGAGCCCAGUGUGAGUCCUGGCAGAAGAAAUCUGCAAACCCUAGUCAGAUGUGUUUCAGCUUUGCAGUGGAUGGUAGGGCCACCCUCCCGUUGGGGUCAGGUCAGAGGACAUGACUCUUUAACAUUACUGAAAUUACAAGUUUCUUGAAUACAAGAUGAAGGAAGAGGUCAAAUAUCAAGUAGGAAGCCAAGCUGCCAUGUUGUAAGCUGCCCUAUGAAGGGACCCACAUGGCAAAGAAUGGAGAAUGACCCCAGCCAGCCAAGAACUCUCAGCCUACCGGCCCAUGAGGAACUGAAUCCUGCCAACAGCGAUGUGAGUGAACUUGGAAGUGGAUCCUUCUCCAGUGGCACCAUCAGGGUGCCCCCACUGGUGUCCUGAAGCUCAUCCUGCACCAAGCAGAAGCGAGCAGAAGAACCCCACACCCUGCCCCUGCUGCAACACACUCACCUGGAGACCUAAAAUGUGACCUCCAUGUCCCCUCUGUGAGAACAGCUUCUUCCACCUCUGCUGUGGGGAACAGCAGCAUCCCAGGCAGAGGGAACUGCAUAUGCAAGGAACCUGGGUGGGGUGGGGGGCAAUGGUGGCCGGCGUUUGAAGAACAGUAAGGCAGUCAAUGUUGCUGGAGCCCAGAGAGAUAAUGAAAGGUGGAUGACGUGGGGUCUUAUAGGUCACCAUGAGAGCUUUACUCUAAGGUGUUGGGAAGCCAGACACCUGCAGACAUGUCUGCAAAUACCUUUGAGGUUUGUCUGAAUCCUCAGCUGCAGAGGAAAACACAGGAAGUAUGGGAGUUCCCCACAAGAGUUCACAUUUGAACUAGGUUGUUUUUUUUUUAACCGCAACCUCUGCCUCCUAGUUGCAAGUGACUCUCCUGUCUCAGCCUCUCGAGUAGCUGAGAUUACAGGCAUGUACCACCACACUGGCUAAUUUUUUGUAUUUUUGGUAGAGAUCGGCUUUCACCAUGUUGGUCAGGCUGGUCUCGAACUCCUGACCUCAAAUGAUCUGCCUGCCUCAGCUUCCCAAAGCGCUAAGAUUACAGGUGUGAGCCACCGCACCUGGCCUUGAACUAGGCUCUGAAGGAUGACCAGGAGUUUUUCAGAUGGGGGAAAGAGGAGCAAAGCAUCCCAGAUAGAGAGACUACUAUAUUCAAAGGCUAAGAAUGGUGAAAGAGCAAAACGUGUUCCAGGGUGGCUGGCCGUACACCUGUCUGGCGUUCAGGACAGGAGGAUGUUAGAGGAUGCUGCAGCAGAAUGCAAGGCUCAGGUGUGGUUGGGGUCAGAUAGGGAGGACCGUACACAAGGCAUCAUCUCUAGCUUCCUUAGGAACACAUUCCCUUCUUUGAGAACUGCAUUGGCCCCUAAUGAGCUGAAGUCACUUUAUUACUUACUGCAGCAUAAACGAGCGCUGUUAUGAGAGGCAUAUGGCCCAUCUCCCCGCUCCUUCUUCCCAUCCCACCCUCGCUCCUGAAAUCCAGGCAGCUGCCUUGGGCAGCAUCAGAAAGUCCCAUGUGCUUGAGGCUUUCAGACAGCUUUUCCCCAAUAAGACAAGCUCUCUACUUAAUCUGAAGAAAUGGAGUGUUAUUAAAUUAAUUUCUGAACUAUCCUUGCCUUGUCCUUGAACUAAAAAGCUAAGGACCCUGGAGUAAAAGGCAGGGGAUGAGGUGGGAGGGGUGAAGGGGAGAAGCAGAAUGAGGCAGGGCAGCAAAGAGGCAGCAGAGAGGCAAGUUCCUGACCCAGGUCUGCCCGACAGACUCGUUCCAGCAGGUGGGCUGCCUCGUGCUGUCCAAGGCACUGUGUUGAAGAGGUUCAGUAAGUAAAAUAAGAAAUGAGAGUCCUCUGAUCAGCUACUGUACCCAGGGCCCUAAAAAUGAUGGAAAGGUGGCCUCCCUCUGCCAUGGGGUCAGCCCAAAAGUAAUUACCAGGAUACUUUGCAGAUUAUUGAAUAAGUCCCUGGAACCGGCACACUGAUUUAUAUAAGACCUGGAGAUUUUGAGAGAUUUGAGAGAAUAUUAAGAAUCAAUCAAUAUUUUAAUUUAUUUCAGGGUCCUGGAGACUUUAGCUCUGUAGAAAACCACAGGGAGGAAAUUGUGACCUUUGAAAUAUGGCUGGCUGGCAGGCAGCAGGGAGGUACCUCGGCAAAGAGCCUGUUUGGCAGCUGCUGCGGGGAAAGACUUCUCUGUGCUGGAAUGUUCUCUUUCUUCACAGCAUCAGUCAGGAAUUUCAAAUAGCCAAAGAGGGGAGGGCCUCAGGGUGAGUGAGCUCUGGAGCCCUGGCAAGAAGGCUCUUGGCUUGAAUGUGCAUAGCUUACUCCUCCCCAGAGAGAGUCCCCAGGGCCUGGAGAGAGGAGCCUGCAGACUUUGUGUCUCUGCCUAGGAGGCGCUGCUGUGAUCUGGAGACGUCCUCGUAGAACCACCUGAUGAUGUGUCAUCAUUGCAGGAGAUCCAGUACCUUCUCCCCUGGGUCACUAGGCUCCCUAGGCCAUACUCUUCCUGUGUCCUCCCCAGGGCUUUACCAGACAUCUCAUAGAGCACGUGAGCACCAGGUCUCGGACUAUCACCAUCCUCCUGUCUUAUUCCGCAGGAAGACUGUAAGCUCCCUUCAGGCAGGAAUGAUGUCUGAUCCAUUUCUGUGUCCCCAGUACCUGGCAUCAUGCCUGGCCCAGGAUAGGUAGAUAUGAAAAAUAAUGUGUUGAAGAAAUGAAUGGUCAAAUGAACUAAUGCAAGAAAAAUAAACAUUUGUUUGUAAAAAUCAGUUAUGUUUCAACAGCAAGCAGACGGCACAUUCAAAUGUAGUAAUUAGAGAAAUUCAGAAAGGUGAAGACAGGGUGGAGGUAACUGACCAAAGCAUGCAGCACCCUGGGGCUGGCAGCAGUGGGAGAGAAGGAGCUGUUAGCACCCCCAGGCCUGAUGCGGCUAAGAGAGAAGCGGGUCCCAGAACCUGGAGCAGGCCACUAAAACGGAGAGGUGGCCUUUUGCAAGGGAGGCAGCCACACCCUCAAACCUGCAGGGAGGAAGUGGGGGAACAAAUACCUUGACCUCGCCCUCUGUCCUUCCUUGGAUCUCCUCCCUGUGUUCCUCACUGGCCAAAGCCAACCAGAAGUCAGAGGCCAGUGGAGCUCCUUGAUCCAGAGUGGAGAGUAGACAAAAGAUCCCCAGCAAAGGGCUGCCAGGUAACUCUCUGCCUAUUCCAUCUGGCUUGUCCAGCCCCACGAGAAGGGCAGACAAUGGGCACCCCAAUCAGUAGUGCCAACUACUGGGGCACCCCAGUAGUUCUCAAUAAGGGGCAGUUUUGCCAGCCGCUGGGGGGAUUUGUUUUUCACAACUGGAAUGGGGAGGGUGCUACUGGUAUCUAGUGAGUAGAGGCCAAGGAUGCUGCUAAACAUACAAAAAUGCAAAGGACAGCACCCACAACAAAGAACUAUCCAGCUCAAGAUGUCGAUUGUGCCAUGCUGGGAAAGCCUGGCCUUAAUCAAAUGUUGAGAGGAACUCAGGCACACUCUGUGCUGCCCUGGCUUCAGCCAGAGAACAUUGCCUCACUGUGCUGGAAAGGGCAGCGUCAUUUGGUCCAACCCAGAGCCAUCGGCCAGUAAGUGACCAGUGUCUGACUUUGAGUGUCCCUUCGGGAAGGUGCUUUAAGGAGAAAGUCUAUCUGCUCUCUGUCUCUCCUCACUGACAGUGAUGUCCUAGGGUGUCCAGAGUGGUAGACGAGUGGCAGGGAGCACUGCUCAAGCCAUGGGCAAUUAGCUUUCCCCUGGAGGCCAAAACCUCCCCACUGGGCUCACCACCUCCCCAACUCCCCUGAUAUUGAGGGGAACGAGAAAGCUUCUCGUUCCCCUCAUUUUCAGCUUUACAUUCACACCAUAAAAACAUUUUGUAAAAGUGAAUCAAGUCUUGCCAUCUGUCUCUCUCACUUUUAUCAUGUUUAUAAUGAAAAGAAGAGUCAAGAGGAAAUGGAAUCCAAACUGCAAAUGGUGUGCUGCUCCCUGGUAGCUGAGAUCCACCCGAGCAAGGCAGGGACUUGAGGAAGAGGGUGGCCCUUGUGGCGCAGCAUCAUGUACAAAGUGAGUUCCAUCAGAAUCUCAUGCGAAGUUCUCAUGGCAGCCCUGGGAAGUAGAGCUUGUAAUCCACAUUGACAGAUGAGGAAACUAAGGUUUUUCAGGGGAGAUAAGUACUUCAAGGUUGUACUCCCAACAAGUAGCAAAGGUCUUAAACUCUGUACUUGGCCAUCAACUCCAAGUUGUAGACCAAUGUUGCUUCCUAUUUCAUCCUGACGUGAAAUUGUUAGCUUACUGCUACUGGGGUUUAGGUACCAUAUUGAAAACUGUUGAAGUUUAAGUGACUGUGGUACUUAAGAGAGCUCUAUUUUACUCCCUGUCACAGCUUAGAGAUUUUGUCCCUCAUCUGACCCUCCAGGGUCACAGCCCGGGAGAGAAUAAGUUCCAUGUGUACAUUCAUGUCACAAAUAUUCAUUGAGAAAACCAUGUGCCAGGUGCGAGAUGUGGGAUGGCCAGAGAGUACCAUUCUGAGCAGGGCAGCAGAUCUUGAAAAAGGACCCUUGGCACCAGAUCAGAGAGGAACCUAAUAAUGGCAGGCUGCAUUUAUUGAGCACUCACUAUGAGCCAGCUACUGCUCAAGUACUUUCUACAUACUAACUCAUUGAACCCCAUAAGGCUGAUACUCUUACAAUUCCCAUUUUACAGAUGAGAUGACUCAAGCAGUUUAGAAAAUUGCUCGAGGAACCCAGCUUAAUAGUUGUUCUGUUCUGACACGUGCUAGAGCGUGGAUAAAUCUUAAAGACAUUUUGCACAGGGGAAAAAGCCAGUAACAAAAGGAAAAAUACCGUGUGAUUCCACUUAUAUGAGGGACCUAGUGUAGUUAAAUUCAUACAGACAGAGACUAGAAAGGCUAGGAGUUGGAG
rnacentral:lncRNA from 1 species